UAUAAGGAGAUGAUGAUGGUAAUAACAAGCACAUAUCUCAAUACAAUCUGUGGAAAAAAAAUAAUUCUGAAUCUCCUCAUU